GUUUUGACCAGCUUUGUAGAAGACAGCGUUAAUAAAUAAUGGCUGUAUCAUUAAGCUAUGGAAACGGAACGUCAUUCAAUUGCAAACCUUUGUGCUUUUGUGUGUGCGGAAUGUUUUUGUGAGCCAUGAAGCAUGCAGUCUUCUACUUUCGUUUUUACGGAAUGCUUCUGUAAUGCAUCCCAACCAUAUGAGCGAUUAUAUAUACUGUGUAUAUGUAAGUAAAAUGCAUAGGAAAAGGUUUUUUUACGAAGUAACCACUCAUUUGAUUUUGUUUUUCGAACAAACGUUUCCACUCAAAAGUCUAGUUUUACUGCUAAUUGCUC